GUAUAUUUGAGUACAUAUUGUGCGUGUGUGUGUGUAUGUGUAUGGGCGAAGGACAAUAUUAGGAACUUCUGAUUUCUUAUUUUUCCCAACCUGUUUAAAAUCAUUAGAUUGCAAGUAUUGCAUCAUUGUUUCGCAUUGCUGCUUCAUCUUCAAGAAUAAAAAUUGCUUUGAUAAUGAGUGGUGAAAAAAUUCCAAUUAGACCUAUUUUAUCCAGUGAUAAAAAGAACUGAGUGCAAGGACAACAGCAAAAGAAAUUAAUGGUAUGGAAGACCCAGGAACUGUUAAUGAAUGCGAGGCACAAAACUGGUUCAGAAAUUUCAAGGAAGGUGACACCAACCUCAAUGACAAACCAUCUGUUUUGGAAGAUGAGGCCUUGCUCGGAACGGUUGAACAACAGCAAAGCACGUUUAUUGUGUGUGUGUGUGUGUGUGUGUGUGCGCGCGCGUGCAUGCAUGUGUGUGUGUGCAUGCACAUGUGUGUAUGCAUGCCUGCUUGCAAGCAUGUGUAUGUUCGUUCAUUUGUUCAAAGCUGCAUUUUGUUAUCUUCAAAUAUGGACUGCAGGAUAUCUAUUGACUUAUUGAUUAAUAUCAUUUUCUAAGAAAAUAUUUGUCACAAAAAUAAAUAUGAUUGUAUGAAAGCAGAUAACUUGUAUGAUUAUUUGGAAUUUCUAAAUUUUUAUUUAUAUGUAUAUAUCUCAAUGUACACACACACACACACACACACACACACACACACACACACACACACACACACACAUACAUGCACACACACACACACACACACACACACACACACACACACACACACACACACACACACACACAAAAACACAAACACACAUGUUAUUUUUGCAUAUACAAAUUUGUAGUUGUUAUGCAAACAUCCUGCUUUCAUAUGUUGUUUUUCUUAUUCUUCUGACCUAUUCAGUACAUUCUUGGAAAAUAUUAAA